rnacentral:rRNA from 1 species
CAUGCAAGUCGAGCGGUAACAGACAUAAAGAUUCAGCUUGCUGAAUCCGGUGCUGACGAGCGGCGAACGGGUGAGUAACGCGUAGGAAUCUACCCAGUAGCGGGGGAUAGCCCGAGGAAACUCGGAUUAAUACCGCAUACGCCCUGAGGGGGAAAGGGGGCAGUUUACUGCUCUCACUAUUGGAUGAGCCUGCGUAAGAUUAGCUUGUUGGUAGGGUAAUGGCCUACCAAGGCGACGAUCUUUAGCUGGUCUGAGAGGACGAUCAGCCACAUUGGGACUGAGACACGGCCCAGACAUCUACGGAUGGCAGCAGUUAAGAAUAUUGGACAAUGGGGGCAACCCUGAUCCAGGUAUACCGCGUGUGUGAAGAAGGCCCUAGGGUUGUAAAGCACUUUAAUCAGAGAAGAAGCAAUUUAAGUUAAUACCUUAUUUUGUUGACGUUACCUGAAGAAUAAGGACCGGCUAACUCCGUGCCAGCAGCCGCGGUAAUACGGAGGGUCCAAGCGUUAAUCGGAAUUACUGGGCGUAAAGCGCGCGUAGGCGGUUUAGCAAGUUGUAUGUGAAAGCCCUGGGCUCAACCUAGGAACUGCAUCCAAAACUACUAAGCUAGAGUACGAGAGAGGAGAGUAGAAUUUCUGGUGUAGCGGUGAAAUGCGUAGAUAUCAGAAGGAAUACCAAUGGCGAAGGCAGCUCUCUGGCUCGUCACUGACGCUGAGGUGCGAAAGCGUGGGUAGCAAACAGGAUUAGAUACCCUGGUAGUCCACGCCGUAAACGAUGACAACUAGCCGUUGGGCAGAUUUAACUGUUCAGUGGCACAGCUAACGCAUUAAGUUGUCCGCCUGGGGAGUACGGCCGC